GACGGGGGAUGCAAGUGUUAUCCGGAAUCACUGGGCGUAAAGCGUCUGCAGGUGGUUUCCUAAGUCCACUGUUAAACCUUGAGGCUCAACCUCAAAUCUGCAUUGGAAACUAGGAGACUUGAGUAUAGUAGGGGUAGAGGGAAUUUCCAGUGGAGCGGUGAAAUGCGUAGAUAUCUGGAGGAACACCGGUGGCGAAGGCGGCAUCCUGGACCGGCAUUGACGCUGAGGAGCGAAAGCCAGGGGAGCAAACGGG
rnacentral:rRNA from 1 species